rnacentral:rRNA from 1 species
GACGAACGCUGGCGGCGUGCUUAAUGAAUGCGAGUCGAGCGAGAACCAGUUGAGUGCUUGCACAAUUCUGGGGACAGCGGCAAACGGGUGAGUAACACGUGGGUAACCUGCCCUGUAGUCGGGCACAACAGUUGGAAACGGCUGCUAAUUCCCGAUAGUCAGCGGCGCCACAAGGCGCUGUUGUAAAGGUUAAUUCCGCUACAGGAUGGGCCCGCGGGUCAUUAGCUUGUUGGUGAGGUAACGGCUUACCAAGGCGACGAUGACUAGCCGGUCUGAGAGGAUGGUCGGCCACACUGGGACUGAGACAUGGUCCAGACUCCUCCGGGAGUUAGCAUCAGGGAAUCUUGCGCAAUGGGCGAAAGCCUGACGCAGCGACGCCGCGUGAGGGAUGAAGGUCUGCGGAUCGUAAACCUCUGUAAGCAGGGACGAAUACCCGAUUCUGUCGGGGGCGACGGUACCUGCAAAGUAAGCCCCGGCUAACUACGUG